GACGAACGCUGGCGGCGUGCCUAAUACAUGCAAGUCGAGCGGACCGAACGGAAGCUUGCUUCUGUUCGGUUAGCGGCGGACGGGUGAGUAACACGUGGGUAACCUGCCCGUAAGACCGGGAUAACUCCGGGAAACCGGGGCUAAUACCGGAUAACACCGAAGACCGCAUGGUCUUUGGUUGAAAGGUGGCUUUUGCUACCACUUACGGAUGGGCCCGCGGCGCAUUAGCUAGUUGGUGAGGUAACGGCUCACCAAGGCGACGAUGCGUAGCCGGCCUGAGAGGGUGACCGGCCACACUGGGACUGAGACACGGCCCAGACUCCUACGGGAGGCAGCAGUAGGGAAUCUUCCGCAAUGGACGAAAGUCUGACGGAGCGACGCCGCGUGAGCGAAGAAGGUCUUCGGAUCGUAAAGCUCUGUUGUUAGGGAAGAAGAAGUACCGUUCGAAUAGGGCGGUACGGUGACGGUACCUAACGAGAAAGCCCCGGCUAACUACGUGCCAGCCGCCGCGGUAAUAC
rnacentral:rRNA from 1 species